GACGAACGCUGGCGGCGUGCUUAACACAUGCAAGUCGAACGAUGAAGCGGUGCUUGCACCGUGGAUUAGUGGCGAACGGGUGAGUAAUACGUGAGUGACCUACCUUUGACUCUGGGAUAAGCCUGGGAAACUGGGUCUAAUACCGGAUACGACCAAUCUCUGCAUGGGGUGUUGGUGGAAAGCGUUAUGGAGUGGUUUUAGAUGGGCUCACGGCCUAUCAGCUUGUUGGUGAGGUAAUGGCUUACCAAGGCGACGACGGGUAGCCGGCCUGAGAGGGUGACCGGCCACACUGGGACUGAGACACGGCCCAGACUCCUACGGGAGGCAGCAGUGGGGAAUAUUGCACAAUGGGCGCAAGCCUGAUGCAGCGACGCCGCGUGAGGGAUGACGGCCUUCGGGUUGUAAACCUCUGUUAGCAUCGAAGAAGCGAAAGUGACGGUAGGUGCAGAGAAAGCGCCGGCUAACUACGUGC
rnacentral:rRNA from 1 species